GAUGAACGCUGGCGGCGUGCCUAAUACAUGCAAGUCGAGCGAACGGACGAGAAGCUUGCUUUUCUGAUGUUAGCGGCGGACGGGUGAGUAACACGUGGAUAACCUACCUAUAAGACUGGGAUAACUUCGGGAAACCGGAGCUAAUACCGGAUAAUAUUUUGAACCGCAUGGUUCAAAAGUGAAAGACGGUCUUGCUGUCACUUAUAGAUGGAUCCGCGCUGCAUUAGCUAGUUGGUAAGGUAACGGCUUACCAGGGCAACGAUGCAUAGCCGACCUGAGAGGGUGAUCGGCGACACUGGAACUGAGACGCGGUCCUGACUCCUACGGGAGGCAGCAGUAGGGAAUCUUCCGCAAUGGGCGAAAGCCUGACGGAGCAACGCCGCGUGAGUUAUGAAGGUCUUCGGAUCGUAAAACUCUGUUAUUAGUGAAGAACAUAUGUGUAAGGAACUGUGCACAUCUUGACGGUACCUAAUCAGAAAGCCACGGCUAACUACGUG
rnacentral:rRNA from 1 species